AUUGAACGCUGGCGGCAGGCCUAACACAUGCAAGUCGAGCGGAACGGCGGACGGGUGAGUAAUGCCUAGGAAUCUGCCUGGUAGUGGGGGCUAACGUCCGGAAACGGGCGCUAAUACCGCAUACUAUCAGAUGAGCCUAGGUCGGAUUGGCUAGUGGGGGGGGUAAAGGCCUACCAGGGCGACGAUCCGUAACUGGGCUGAGAGGAAGAUCAGUCACACUGGAACUGAGACAGGGUCCAGACUCCUACGGGAGGCAGCAGUGGGGAAUAUUGGACAAUGGGCGAAAGCAGGAUCCAGCCCUGCCGCGUGUGUGAAGAAGGUCUUCGGAUUGUAAAGCACUUUAAGUUGGGAGGCGGUACCAACAGAAUAAGCACCGGCUAACUUCGUGCCAGCAGCCGCGGUAAUUC
rnacentral:rRNA from 1 species